GAUUUCUGGUUGGGUGAGCCUGGCCCGCGACGGAAACGUUUGUGAGUGCCGGUGCUUGCCUGCCAUCUUUCUAGGGAACCUCUCUACCCUUCACUGGGCCGGGGAGGCGAUCUAGGUCUUUUACUUUGAAAAAAUUAGAGUGUUCAAAGCAGGCUUGUGCAUGAAUACAUUAGCAUGGAAUAAUAAUAUAGGACUUUGGGCCUAUUUUGUUGGUUUCCUGGUCCGAAGUAAUGAUUGAUAGGGAUAGUUGGGGGUGCUAGUAUUCAGCGGCCAGAGGUGAAAUUCAUGGAUUCGCUGAAGACUAACUUAUGCGAAAGCAUU
rnacentral:rRNA from 1 species